rnacentral:rRNA from 1 species
UACAGAGGUGGCAAGCGUUGUUCGGAAUUACUGGGCGUAAAGGGCGCGUAGGCGGCCAUCUAAGUCAGACGUGAAAUCCCCCGGCUUAACCUGGGAACUGCGUCUGAUACUGGAAGGCUUGAGUAUGGGAGAGGGAUGUAGAAUUCCAGGUGUAGCGGUGAAAUGCGUAGAGAUAUGGAGGAACACCAGUGGCGAAGGCGACUUUCUGGUCUGUAACUGACACUGAGGCGCGAAAGCGUGGGGAGCAAACAGG